UACGAACCGUGCGAACGUUGUUCGGAUUCACUGGGCUUAAAGGGCGCGUAGGCGGAAGGUCAAGUCCGAGGUGAAAUCUUUCGGCUCAACCGGAAAAGUGCCUUGGAUACGGAUCUUCUCGAGGGAGGUAGGGGCAUGUGGAACUUCCGGUGGAGCGGUGAAAUGCGUAGAUAUCGAGAGGAACACCUGCGGCGAAGGCGGGUUGCUGGGCUGACACUGACGCUGAGGCGCGAAAGCUAGGGGAGCGAACGGG
rnacentral:rRNA from 1 species